UGGGAACGUACCUUUCAGUUCGGAACAACCAAGGGAAACUUUGGCUAAUACCGGAUACGCCCGUAAGGGGAAAGAUUUAUCGCUGAAAGAUCGGCCCGCGUCUGGUUAGCUUGUUGGUGAGGUAAUGGCUCACCAAGGCGACGAUCAGUAGCUGGUCUGAGAGGAUGAUCAGCCUCAUUGGGACUGAGACACGGCCCAGACUCCUACGGGAGGCAG
rnacentral:rRNA from 1 species